rnacentral:rRNA from 1 species
ACUCCCCAGGCGGGGUACUUAAAGCGUUAGCUACGGCGCGGAACCCGUGGAAUGGACCCCACACCUAGUACCCACCGUUUACAGCGUGGACUACCAGGGUAUCUAAGCCUGUUCGCUCCCCACGCUUUCGCUCCUCAGCGUCAGGAAAGGCCCAGAGAACCGCCUUCGCCACUGGUGUUCCUCCUGAUAUCUGCGCAUUCCACCGCUCCACCAGGAAUUCCAUUCUCCCCUACCUUCCUCAAGUCAACCCGUAUCGAAAGCACGCUCAGGGUUAAGCCCCAAGAUUACACUUCCGACGCGAUCAACCACCUACGAGCCCUUUACGCCCAAUAAAUCCGGACAACGCUCGCACCCUACGUAUCACCGCGGCUGCUGGCACGUAGUUAGCCGGUGCUUCUUUACCCAUUACCGUCACUCACGCUUCGUCACAGGCGAAAGCGGUUUACAACCCGAAGGCCGUCAUCCCGCACGCGGCGUUGCUGCAUCAGGCUUCCGCCCAUUGUGCAAUAUUCCCCACUGCUGCCUCCCGUAGGAGUCUGGGCCGUAUCUCAGUCCCAAUGUGGCCGGUCACCCUCUCAGGCCGGCUACCCGUCAAAGCCUUGGUAAGCCACUACCCCA